AUAUUCUAUGAUGAUUAUAUACCGCCCCAGUCUGAUGGAGGUGAUUGAUUGGUUUUUCUGAAAUCU
rnacentral:snoRNA from 1 species